GGAGAUGUAGCUCAGUUGUAGAGUAUGUGCUUAGUAUGUGCAAGGCUAUGGGUUCAAUCCUCAGCUCCA
rnacentral:tRNA from 1 species